rnacentral:rRNA from 1 species
UCUUUCGUCGGGGGAGAAAAUGACUGUACCCGAAUAAGAAGGUCCGGCUAACUUCGUGCCAGCAGCCGCGGUAAUACGAAGGACCUAGCGUGUUCGGAAUUACUGGGCUUAAAGAGUUCGUAGGUGGUUGAAAAAGUUGGUGGUGAAAUCCCAGAGCUUAACUCUGGAACUGCCAUCAAAACUUUUCAGCUAGAGUAUGAUAGAGGAAAGCAGAAUUUCUAGUGUAGAGGUGAAAUUCGUAGAUAUUAGAAAGAAUACCAAUUGCGAAGGCAGCUUUCUGGAUCAUUACUGACACUGAGGAACGAAAGCAUGGGUAGCGAAGAGGAUUAGAUACCCUCGUAGUCCAUGCCGUAAACGAUGUGUGUUAGACGUUGGAAAUUUAUUUUCAGUGUCGCAGCGAAAGCGAUAAACACACCGCCUGGGGAGUACGACCGCAAGGUUAAAACUCAAAUGAAUUGACGGGGACCCGCACAAGUAGUGGAGCAUGUGGUUUAAUUCGAAGAUACGCGCAGAACCUUUCCAACACUUGACAUGUUCGUCGCGACUCUAAGAGAUUAGAGUUUUCGGUUCGGCCGGACGAAACACAGGUGCUGCAUGGCUGUCGUCAGCUCGUGUCGUGAGAUGUUGGGUUAAGUCCCGCAACGAGCGCAACCCUCACUUUUAGUUGCCAUCAUUAAGUUGGGCACUCUGAAAGAACUGCCAGUGAUAAGCUGGAGGAAGGUGGGGAUGACGUCAAGUCCUCAUGGCCCUUACGUGUUGGGCUACACACGUGCUACAAUGGUAUCUACAACAGGAAGCAAAACGGCAACGUUAAGCAAAUCCCGAAAAGAUACCUCAGUUCGGAUUGCACUCUGCAACUCGAGUGCAUGAAGCUGGAAUUACUAGUAAUCGUGGAUCAGCGUGCCACGGUGAAUGCGUUCCCGGGUCUUGUACACACCGCCCGUCACACCAUGGGAGUUGGUUCUACCUUAAGGCAAGGUUUUAAACCCUUGACCACGGUAUAGUCAGCGACUGGGGUGAAGUCGUAACAAGGUAAC